AUGGCUUCAGCUUGGAACCAGGUGAGACACGGCAGUGUGACAAAAGUUGGUGUCACCCAAUACCAGUUGAAGGCCCAGCCCAUGUGCUUCUGCAAGACUUCUGUACCUUCUCGGGGGCUUCAGGACCCACGGUCACAUUUGACCCUAUCUGCCUGCCCUCACUGGCCUUUCCCCAUCUCUCAUGGUUCCCUCCCCACCGUCAUCCCCCCACCACUACGUAGUCCUGCCAAGUUCAACAUGGAGUUUGGGCCCCUCUUUUCCACUAAGCACAGACACCACGCAGCACACGACUCCGAGACCCUCCAGAACGAUUUUGGAGGUGGGAGGGGCUUUGUGUCACAGCCACACAAGCAUAUGAGAAUCGAACGCUGAAUUUCCGGCUUCCACCAGUGCUGCCACCACCACCAUGUUGCUCACACCCCAGUUCCAUCAGUAUACAUUUCCUUUCUGCUUUUUUUUUUUUUUUUUUUUUUUUUUUUUGAGACAGAGUCUCAGUCUGUCGCCCAGGCUGGAGUGCAGUGGCACAGUCUCGGCUCACAGCAACCUCCGCCUCCCAGGUUCAAGGGAUUCUCCUGCCUAAGCCUCCUGAGUAGCUGGGAUUAUAGGGAUGCACCACCACGCCUGGCUAAUUUUUGUAUUUUUAGUGGAGACGGAGGUUUCACCGUGUUGAUCAGGCUGGUCUUGAACUCCUGACCUCGUGAUCCACCCGCCUUGGCCUCCCAAAGUGCUGGGAUUACAGGUGUGAGCCACCGUGCGUGGCUUUUUUUUUUUUUUUUUUGACAGAGUCUCGCUCUGUCGCCCAUGCUGGAGUGCCGUGGUAUGAUCUUGGCUCACUGCAACCUCGUGGGUUCAAGCAGUUCGCCUGCCUCGGCCACUUGAGUAGCUAGGAUUACAGGCACAUGCCACCAUGCCCAGCUAUUUGUUGUAUUAAUAUUUUUAAUAGAGAUGGGUUUUUACCAGUUUUGCCAGGCUAGUCUCAAACUCCUGACUUCAAGAGAUCCGUUCUCCUUGGCCUCCGAAAGUGCUGAGAUUACAGGCAUGAACCACUGCACCCGGUCCCCAUUCCGCUUUAUUAGAACGAUUCAGCUUCCUCAGCCUUAGCGGGCAGCUGCUCCAGGUGCCUUUGUGGAUUGACAGAAGCCUCCUCCACUCCUGUGGCCGCCCAGCUCCGGACCUCGCCUCCCUCCUACCCCCGCUUAGGCUCGCAGGGGAAGGGAGAGGAGGAAGAUGAAUUUCCCUGCUGAUUAGAGAUGUGUCGCUCAUUGCUUUUCCUCCCACGGGAAAGCUGGUGCGUCAGGUGUGGGUUACAAUGAGCCAUCGCUUUUCCCUCUGUCCCACUGGGACCUCAGUAGACACAGAGGUUAUGGGAGCAUGGCAGGGGCACCUAAGGGAGUCUGGGGCUCAGGGAAGCUUUUCUAGGGGAGGACACAUCUCAUGAUGAGAUGCUGGCAGGAACUGGAGUUGGCCAGAUGAAGCUGGGGGUGGUGUGGGGACAGGAGGGCCGCCUGGCCAGGAGGGCUCUCCCGGGCUGCAGGUUGACGACAUGAACCUCUCAGUAUGGGGGCAGUAGCUCUCUGCAUUAGGAUCCUUUUGGUUGUAAGUGACCGAAACUGAAGGCAAACAGGCAAAAAAUAAAGAGCAUUUCCUGG
rnacentral:lncRNA from 1 species